AGAAAGAACACUGGAACUGCUAAUUCCACAUCCCAUAUUUAAAUAUAUGGCUUUCUC
rnacentral:tRNA from 1 species